CUUUGUGCAGUCUUAGACAUAAGGAAGAUCUGAAUUCUGAGAAAGCCUGUGAAGCACAGUAAUUAAAGAGCACCAUAUUUGAACAGAUAUUCAUACAGGGAUCAACUAUUUGGGUUGAGUUGAACUUCCAGAAGGAGGCUGGUACCAUUCAGCAGGCGGGCUGAGAGGUUGGGCUGAGGAGAGGUGGAAGUGUCUUGUUCUGCCUUACAGGACUGUUAAUCUUAAACCAUUAAGCAAAACAACAGCACAAGGGAAAGGCUAGUACUGCAGGCCUCCUGGGAGUUGGCAUGGAUUGAAUGUCUGCACAUCUGGGUUUCUGCCAGCACUGUGGAGGCCGGAGGUGUGCUGAUGUUCCACAGAGUUGGCCUCGCACUUCUAGUCAUGUGUCGGGAGGCCCGGCGUAGCCCCGUGCGCAGGCGCCCGGAAAGGCAGGCAGCAGGCGCCCGGGAAGCGGCGCGGAGACAGACGCGGCCUUGGGCCUGCCUCCGCAGCGAGGGCGAGAACCGCCAUGCCGCACAGAAACACCCACACAAUAGGCCCGCCCGGAGAUGUGUGUGAAAUAUGCCGACGUGGAGAAACCCCUGGGAAAACAUGCCACAAGGCGGGUUGCUCUUGGCCCUGCCCUUGAGAGCCAGAAA